rnacentral:rRNA from 1 species
UACGUAGGGCGCAAGCGUUGUCCGGAAUUAUUGGGCGUAAAGAGCUCGUAGGCGGUUUGUCGCGUCUGCUGUGAAGACUCGAGGCUCAACCUCGGGCUUGCAGUGGGUACGGGCAGACUAGAGUGCGGUAGGGGUGACUGGAAUUCCUGGUGUAGCGGUGGAAUGCGCAGAUAUCAGGAGGAACACCGAUGGCGAAGGCAGGUCACUGGGCCGCAACUGACGCUGAGGAGCGAAAGCAUGGGGAGCGAACAGG